AAUAAUCAUACCUUUAUACCUAGGAUGACCAUUGUUCAUUUUUUGAUAUAUUUGAAAUUGUACCUACAGCAUGUGUUUUGUUACAUUAAAUUGAUAAUAAUUGUAGUACUUCAACAAUGGUUCUAGUCAAGUUAGAGUUGAACCUUCAAAUGGCAUUUAGAAGUGAUAAAGGAGAAAGAUAAUACCCUGAAACAUUGUCUUCCUUAUAUAAAAGAAGUCGAUACCACAAAUUCUCUCCUUAAAGAUUAUGCACUGGUACAAUACUGACAAUAUGGAUAACAGCUUCUUUUAUUUCGAGGGUGUGACUUAAUGUCUGCUUGACAAUGGUACAAGAAUCUGUAUCGAAAUGUGGCACUCGUGAAAUAAAUUCCUGUUUGACAAUGGUACAAGAAUCUGUAUCGAAACGUGGCACUCGUGAAAUAAAUUCGUGUUUGACAAUGGUACAAGAAUCUGUAUCGAAAUGUGGCAAUCGUGAAAUAAAUUCCUAUUUGACAGUGGUAA